GGAGGGGGCGAGCGUUGUUCGGAAUCAUUGGGCGUAAAGGGCGCGUAGGCGGCCUCGUAAGUCAGAUGUGAAAGCCCCCGGCUUAACCAGGGAACUGCAUCUGAGACUGCAGGGCUUGAAUCCGGGAGGGGAGAGUGGAAUUCCCAGUGUAGCGGUGAAAUGCGUAGAUAUUGGGAGGAACACCAGUGGCGAAGGCGGCUCUCUGGACCGGCAUUGACGCUGAGGCGCGAAAGCUAGGGGAGCAAACGGGAUUAGAUACCCCGGUAGUCCUAGCUGUAAACGAUGGGUACUUGGUGUGGCGGGUAUCGACCCCUGCCGUGCCGAAGCUAACGCAUUAAGUACCCCGCCUGGGGAGUACGGUCGCAAGGCUG
rnacentral:rRNA from 1 species